rfam:Hordeum vulgare subsp. vulgare, WGS project CAJW01000000 data, contig: morex_contig_403932
CCCUUGGGUGAUGAAGAACUCAUCUCCCACAUCCUCUCCGGACUCGACCUCGACUACCAGCCCCUCAUCAAUGCCCUUGACGUUCGCACCGAGCCGCUCUCCCUCGACCAUCUCUUCACGUUGAUGUCUAAUUUUGAUC